rnacentral:misc_RNA from 1 species
GCAAACUUGGUCAUUUAGAGGAAGUAAAAGUCGUAACAAGGUUUCCGUAGGUGAACCUGCGGAAGGAUCAUUAGAGUUAAAACGGAAUAUUGCAUUCUUACAACCCCUCCUGCGUAUCUGUAGCAGUUGCUUCCGCGGAUUUGUGUCCCUGCAGACGCAUACCGCUGGUGCCGUUCCCAUGGGGAGGCGUGGCGUCCGCGGGAGGUUUGCAUAAACUCUGAAUUGCUGGAAUCCGUCUGAAUGCAUGCAGAUGCGGAAUGAAAUCUGAACGCAUUUGAAAACUUUCAACAAUGGAUCUCUUGGUUCUCGCAUCGAUGAAGAACGCAGC